UACGAAGGGGGCUAGCGUUGUUCGGAAUUACUGGGCGUAAAGCGCACGUAGGCGGACUACUAAGUCAGGGGUGAAAUCCCGGGGCUCAACCCCGGAACUGCCUUUGAUACUGAUAGUCUCGAGUCCGGAAGAGGUGAGUGGAAUUCCACGUGUAGCGGUGAAAUGCGUAGAUAUCGGAAGGAACAUCAGUGGCGAAAGCGGCUUCCUGGUCCAGCACCGACGUUCAGGCACGAAAGCGUGGGGAGCAAACAGG
rnacentral:rRNA from 1 species